ACGUGCGACAGCAUCUGCGGGAUGGAAAGCGAAAGCAGUCGAUAUUAGUUAAUGCAGACGACACGUCGACAAAGUCUAGGUAGAAAAUGAUGAUGACAACCCCCCCCUAUAUGUCCCGACCAAGUCUCGUGCCAGCAGUCGCGGCAAUACGUGGAAGACUAGUGUUAUUCAUCUUUAUUAGGUUUAAAGGGUACCUAGACGGUAUUUCUAGCCCUAAAUAGGGUACGGAUUUACUAGAGUUUUAUGUGAGGAGGGGAGUACUCGUGGAGUAGAGAUGAAAUUUUGUUAUACUAUGAGGUAACUGGUGGCGGCGAAAGCAACCUUCUAUGUAUAAACUGACGUUGAGGGACGAAGGCUUGGGUAGCAAAUAGGAUUAGAUACCCUAGUAGUCCAAGCAGACAAUUCUGAAUGCCAUAGAUUAGAUUAUUUUUGGUCUAUAAAUGAAAGUGUAAGCAUUCCACCUUAGGAGUAAUGUGGCAACACAGGAACUGAAAUCAUUAGACCGUUUCUGAAACCAGUAGUGAAGUAUGUUAUUUAAUUUGAUGGUCCACGUAAAACCUCACCACAACUUGAAUAUUUUUUAAUUAAUACAAGCGUUGCACGGCUGUCUUCAGUUAAUGUCGUGAGAUUUUGGUUAACUCCAUUAAUUAACGUAAACCCUUACUUUAUUUAUUUUUUUUAUAAAGUAGAUCGCCUAUAUAUUGGAUAUGAUAAGAGGGACUAAGACAAGUCAUCAUGGCCUUAAUGUUGUGGGCUAUAGUCGCCCCCACACUAUAAAAAA
rnacentral:rRNA from 1 species